AGAGAGCCCCACCCCGCCCGAGACAAGGACUCCCAGCCGUGCAGGGGGCGUGGCUUCCAGGAAGCCCCGGCACCACUCUGUAGCGCGUCUCCCGCCUUCCCUCCGCGGCGCUCCCUUUACCUUUGGCCUUAGGGCGCCCCUCUUGCUUCUUCCCUUCGGCGGGGGGCGCCCCAGCCUGGCCCUUCUGCUGUUGCUGCUUCUUCUUCCGCCUGCCCCGCAGCCAGCUGAAGGCCCUGCGCAGGCUGGAGGAGCCGCCUUUGGAUUUCUUCUUCUUGGGGGGCGAAGCUGCUGGGGAGGCGCUCCCCUUCUCGGAGGAAAUCCAGGUGUCGUCGGGGGACGCCGCAGAUGAUGUCUCUGGGCACAGUCCAUGACGAAAGGUCUCUUCUGCAGGGCCUGCUGAAAUGAAUCUGUGAGCAGCUCUCAAUAAUUCCAAUGGCCAUCCUGCAUGAGACCUGGAAUGCCUCUUGCUUCUGUUGACAGACAGCGUGUUCUCACUCCAUUGACUGGCGUGACUAAGAAGCCCCAUAUCGGUACCAGCAAUCAUAUUAUUUCCUAUCCCCAUCUGCAGCGCUGACCCCGGGGGACAAGUGGACAAACAGAAACACUUCCCCUCUCUAAUCUACUCACUUUGGUCAGCAGGCGACACACAAAUCCAGGCCUGGCGAUAUCCCCAGUUUAUCGCCACGUUAGUGAUUUUGUAUUGUCCCAGCUGCUGAGUGCUAUCCCUCAUUUCUAUGAAUCACCCCAGCCAGAGGACGGGCGGAUUAGAAAGGAGGCUGCUUCUGCCUCUGCGCGUGCAGACAGUGUGGGAAGCUUGCCAGCAAGAGCUGCUUCUCUUGAGGUGACAGUGGAAACUGGCAGAGCAAAAAUCUGUUAAACUUUGUCACAUGAAUCAUGCUGCUACUCUUCAUGGCAGAGAUGUCUGUUCCCUGUGUUUGGCUAGCAAUCUGGUGGGAGUAAAAAUUUGGUGGGUUGCAGUUUCUGGAGGACUGGGCCUGUGAUGAGUCAGAUCUGUGUAUCUGUGCCACCUGUAAUUAAUUAAAAUAAAUAAUAAAGUUGCAACUGACUCAA